rnacentral:sRNA from 1 species
GCAAUAUGGACUCACUCUUAGUCAAACUGGUUACUUCAGAAUUCCAGACACCAAACGUCAAGAGCGAAAGACCCAUACCAAGAUAGUUUAUCAACUUCCAGGGAGUGAAGAAGAAUAUAGCAAUAUAAAAUUCUGCCGUCAUAAAAUGACCAAAGAUGGAAUCCAAGUACAGCCUAUGAAGAAAGAGAAUACGAUCCAGGACUCCGUUGAUGGCUUACUCUCAGCAGUUGAAGGGCAACUGCCGCUUGUGUACCAUGAGAGCCUGGAGUUCAGACAACAGCCAAAGCGGAGUGGGGUUGCCAAUGAAUUCUUUGGAGAUCCACAGGCUGCAGCUCGAUUGUUCAUUGGUCCUGCU